rnacentral:lncRNA from 10 species
AAUUAUGUAUGUAUUGGUACACUUAUUUUUAAAUUAUCUUUCCCCACUAAAGGUCUGUUUUCCCCUACAGGUCCCAUGAGGGUGGAGAGCUUGUCUGUUUGAUUCAUUUCCGUGUUCCUAGUACCUAGCAGGGUGCCCAGCUCCUAGGAGGCUUUCAGGAAACAAUAUUAGAUGAGUACAUGAAAAAGCCCCUCACCUCUCCAAUCCCGCACUCAGAGCCCAAGGGCUCUGGACACUGUCUCCCUACUCCCCGACCUUGGCCCUCUGCCCUCAGCCGUAGUGUGUGGCUUUUCAUGGGGCAGAAGUGGGAGGCCCUGGCCCCGGGGCACCCUGGUCUUGCAGGGAGAGGAGGCUUAUAGGCUAUGAAGCGUGACCACUGACUGUCAGCGCUGAUGAAGGGAGAGGCCACUUAGGGCUACACAAGGAG